CUAACUAAGGUAAAUUUGCACCAGCAGAGUGGGGUGUUGCUGUGACUGACCUGGCCAUGUUUUGGGGAGGACUGUGGAAGGACUUUGGAACUUUGGGCUAAAAGGCCCAUUGGUGUUAAGAGCUCUGUGGGAUGUUCUUUAGGAACUUGCAAGGUAAGAAUGUUGAGAGAGUGCAGGAUGGAGGCCUGGCCAGUGAAGUUUCAGAGCGAAGUUUAAAGACUCUAUGGGGCCGCUUGUUAUUCUGAAUUAAGAUUCUAUGGUUCUGGUUAGCUGGGGUUGAAGAUUCAGCUGUGAUUAACAAGAUACCGGAACUACUGAAGUGCAACCUUUACAUUACUGGGAUGAUGGAUACUGGUGAGCUGGAGCUAAGAAAUGAGCAGUGAUUAAGAAGAGACCAGCAUCACUGAGGUGAAAUCUUCCAGGAAGUGUUUCCUGAGAGCAGAGAUGCUGCUUUCCAGAGGCGGCCAUGGUUGUCCUUCAGGUGGGCAGCAGGCCUUGGGAAUGUGUAAGUAUCACCCAGGUGGUACUGGAUUUUGAAGGCACGAAGGGCUUAUAGAGAGCACCUGAGGCUUGGCACUGUGAGAGGCCGGAGGAGUCUAUUAGUGACAGCACAGCCCCACUGCGGCAGAAGACCCCAGAAUUUUGGAGAUGCCGGUACCGUGGGAAGACCACUAGACACUAGCCCCAGGAGUGGAGCCAGUCCGAGCCUAGAAGACGAGCUGUGUGCGCUGCGGAGGACGGAGCUGGAGAAGGGACCCAAGCCCUCGCAGGAGCCCAGAAGAAGGAUUCAUGGAUGUCUGACAAGAAAGUUCACUUCCCAGCCUCCACUUAACCUCCCUGUGGUCAUGUGUCCACCUUCUUGCGAAUGAGAUACAUGGACUACUCAGCAAAGUAUCACAAGAGACAAUCCACACAAACUUAAAUGCUUCCAACCACUGUGUGAACUUGGAAAGAGAUCCUGGACCAGUGAAACCUUCAGAUGAACAAUUGCAGCUGGUAUCUGGACUGCAGUCUGUUAAAGACCCUGAGCCACCGCUAUGACAAACAGCUCCAGGCAGGUGGAAGCCUGGCCGUGUGAUGUCUUAGCUGCAACAUGUCAUUUCAAUUUCUGCCUGGAGCUUCCAAGAGCCUUAGAGGGAGAGACUUGAAGAAACCUGCCCAACGAUGCUGCUUCCAGGAGUUCCCACCCCUACAAAGCACCCCUGAUAGAGGAAGAAGAAACUGGAUACACCCUGAGGUUCCUUCCAUGUGGCUUCUGGGAAGUUUCUGAAAUCAUGGCAGAGAUCUAUUCACUCAUAGUGAUAAUUACUCAAGUAUGUACCUUGCAUCUCUCUCUCUGUCUCUGUCUCUCUCUCUCUAGGUGUGUUUGUGUGUGUGUGUCUUCCUCUCUGUCUUUCUCUCUCUGUCUCCCUCUCUGUCCCUCCCUUACUCUUCUCCCAGUCCUAUUCCCUUGUAUCUUUGUUCCAAAAACCAACUAUGUGAAUGUAAGCCAGUGACUAAGCUCUGAUUUCUGGGAGAAUCCUGCCUAAGACUCACUUUGGAGGAGCAUCCUUUGGGUCUUGCCCUCCUGUGAUGCUGUUCCCGACACUGUCCCACCGGGGUCUUUGGUAUCUGACUCCUCCCUUCAGUACUGUUCCAGCCAUGUUCCCCCACAGCAAGGACGUCACAUUGAUCACUGAAGCACAGCAGAUGGCUUUGACAUCCUUCACUCCCCACAAGCAUUCUCACUGGAAGCUGGAAUUGCCCAGCACAGCUCCAUCUCUGUAAUCUUAGACCCCGUUAUCUUCUCCUUAUAUAUCGAUAUUCUCUUUUGGUCCUAUGUCUCAUCAUUACCCCCAUUGUCUAUCUUUAAAUGUUAUGGAGACCA